ACAAUUUUCAAAAAAUGUUUUCCUGGUUUUCCGAUGUUUGUUUGACUGAAAACAUUUUCCAAAUGGAAAAUGUUUUCCAAGAAACGGGUAAAAUGCCUUAUAUUUUAGGGAAAACAUCUUAUGGAUUUCAUUUCUGUAAGACAUUUUCCGAUUCCUCCUUCAUCCAGGCAAAUCUCAUUCUUCUUCGCUAGGUCUUGGCUAAGCUUUCAAGGUCAGGGAUUAAAUGGGUGAUUAACCUUUUUUUUUGGUUGAUCUUUCUUGGAUCCAAUUUUCUUGAGAAUGGGUAAGGGCAACAAAGAAGGGACCUCCAAGCAAUUCAGGUGGACAAAACCGAUGGAACAUCUUUUUCUUGAAAUUCUAACAGAGGAGGCCCAGAAAGGAAAUAAGCCUUCUAACACUUUCAAAGCAGUUUCUAUUAGUCGAGUUGCCGAAGCUAUUUCUGAAAGAUUUCAAGUCCAAUGCGAUGCAAAGCAUGUGAAAAAUCAUUCGAGGGUUUUAAAAAACCAAUGGCAAAUUAUAUGUACAAUUCUGGGUGAAAGUGGUUUUGGAUAGGAUGAUAACUUAAAAAUGAUCACAUGUGAUAGAGUGACGUAUGAUGCAGCAGUGGUGGUAAUAUAUGUAUAUAUAUGUUAAGUAUAUUUCAAUUGUUUUUACUUGUUAUUCUAAUUGUGUAUAAUAUCUAAUAGGCACACAAGAAGUAUGAACCAUUUUUGAAUAAAA